GAGCAGAGGGGAGGAAGAUGGCACCUGUGUUUCUGUUCCGGUGCUGGAUCCAGUAUGAUGGUGAUAGAAGAGGAACAAGGAUCUGAACUCUACAGCCCAGCAGGGUCUCUGAGGACUGUAUGAACACAGUGACAGGAGUAUCGGCGGAGUGAAUGACAGAAGGGGGAGGCUGAAGAGCUGACUGUCAGACUCACUCAGAUACCAAUGUGCAAUUCUGGAUCACUCUGACACUCAUCUGAUAUUAGGUGACGGGACAAAAUAGAAGGAGAGUGGAAGAUGAGAACUACAUCUCCCAAACAUGUAGUGAACUGAUAAAAGGGGUUCAUGGCCCCAAAACACUAACCUCAGGUUUACCCUGAGAUAUGUUGAGUGUUUGGAAGCUGUGUGUUGACUAGAUGAUGCAGCAGAUUUUGAGGGACAUGUACAUCGAUCUGGAAUUGCUGGCAGAGCUCAACGAGGAGCAGAAGCAGAUCAUGUUCUAUAAGGAGCAGGAAAGGCACUGGGAUGAGAGGGAGAACCAGAACCAGGACCAGGCCAAGUAGGGCAGCAUGAGAAGUAUCCAGUAGCUGCAGGGCAGUGAUGGGGAUGUGUGUGGGUGAUGGGCGACGCCCCUGGAGAUGAGCCUUAUGAUGACAUCAUUAAGGAGCUGAUGGGGGGAGAAAGCCAGACGGCAGAUUCAGCAGGAGGCCAAGGAGCUCUGGUGACUGGGGAGGAGAAAGGAUGCCCACAUAACCCAGUGCAGGGAUUUGAAUGCCAAAGAAACGCGAGGAGGAGGAGAGACAUCAAGGUGAGGAGGACAUAAAACGUGCAGAGGAGAAGAGAGCGAGGGAGCUGUAUAUCUCCCUAGAGCAGGAACAAAGGAGUGAGAAUGAUGAGAAGGAAUGGGAGGCGCAACGUAAGUCAAGUCUUCCCUGCCUUUUCUCUCUACACCUGUUUUCCUUUCCAUUGAUCACCUCCUUCUCCAUCCCUCAUUUUUACAUGAACCUCUUUUAUUAAUUUCUGUCCCUCCCUAAAUGCCAACUCCAAAACUUUUGUUGCUAAUCCUCAAACUUUCCUACACCUGAAAACAUUAAAUGACCCCGGCAAUCGAUAGAACAUCACUCAUGGAUGCACAAAUAAUAUAUAACAUUCAUAAUUGGUGAAUCCAGUCUCCUUUUUACCUCAUUUAACCCCUGAUUUACAUAACAAAAGUCACAUCUCAAUAGGUGGUUCAGAUAAGUCAUGACAUACCACAAGUGGAGGGCUGGGCCUUUCCUUGUUUGUUCUUUAUUGUUUCUCAAGCAAGGGGGGGAGGCCGAUGACAUUACAACUUCCCAUCAAACCAACUAUUUGAAAGCCCUACUCGUUGAAGUAUGCAGUUGUGUUUAAAAAACACAAUCCUGCUUUAUUUGAAGUACGUGUUAUGAAGGCUUCAUAAAGCAUUCAUAUAUGUUUUGUAACCACUACAUUAAUGGCUCACAAAUCAUCUACAACCUUUUUUCAUGCUCUAUAAAGGAUCAAAACAUGUGAACAAAUAAAUUAGAUGGUUAUGUCACAUAGUUAUGCCACAUUAUGAAUCAUUCUAGAGCAUGAAAUACGGUUACAGAUGAUUUAUGACCCAUGUAUCUACUGCUUAUAAAGCCUUCAUAAGUUGUAGGCACGUGUCGCGUACAACCUGGCAGUCCCUGUGGGCAAUAGAGAAGGGCCGUGUGGCGGUACCUCCCUCAGGAGACAGCACUGUGCUAGAGUCAUCCUCCUCGACCACCCACAGCACAGAGCGUACCCACUGCCCCAGCCUCCAGCCUGCUGCUCCUCCGCUGUACCGCCGCGGACAGUGCCCGAAGACACAGCCUCACUGUUUCACAGCCACUGACGUACAGGACAGUUACAGAAUUGGCCUACUAUUCAUGAAUAUGUACACGGAUAGACAUAGCAUAAUUACUAUGCGGCACCCAAUCCAUAUACAGAUAAGAUGCAUAGAAUGGUGAUGUAAAAAAAAGUGUAUAAUAUAUAUCGAGAGAUACACAGAAGCAGACCCAAUAGACCCGCAAGGCUUUUUUUGUGCCUGGAACUCAUCUAAAGCAUGAUGCACCUUUAUCACGUCACCAUUAAAAGGCUUUGGGCAAUCUUAUAUAUUAUGUAUUUAUUUCUUAUUAUAAUAUCAUGUGAUUAUGCAUGCUUCACUUCUCUAUCUUCUCCUGUCUCGCCUGGGUGAGAGCCCCCCGGCUCAGCUCCAGAGAAUGUGUUCUGCUAUGGUUCGAAGAGGAGCAAAUGCCCAAACAGGCUGGCUAUGAGUGCAAUAGCACCACCACUACUGGUUCCAGGGUCAGUACUGGGAUGUUGUCUCGACCAAACAUGGAUCCCUCCUAGCUUCCCCUCUUGCACCAAACUACUUCUCUUCACUACUAUUACCACAUGCAAACUAUCUAACUCAAAAGUAUUCCUCAUGAAAGGAGCAUUGAAAAAAAGUGAGUCUGUUCGUGCAUGCUAGUGUGUGUGGCUGGAUUUUCAGUACAUCAGGGAUCUUUUCAUAUCACAACUGAUGUAGCAACAAAUCACAUACACGGCUGACCUGCGUUAUCUUCAAUAAUACUGCUGUAACCAUGGAAACAUGAUAUGCGGAGGCUGACAGAACUGAAUGUUUGAACUGUGUGUGAAUGUGUGACAUUAGUUAUAUGCUAAUUUGAAAAGGAGGAUCUUGGUCUUGGAGGAGGAUCUUGCAUCUUGGUUUGCAAGAAUUCAUAUGUCUCUUUGACAUUACACAUACAGUAUAACAUUGUGUACAAAUACAGAUAAAAAGCAUCUGGAGACUGCCGGGGGGAGGAUGCUGAUAAACAGUGUGAAUAUAAUUCACCACAGAUCACCACAUUGAAUCUGGAAAAUCGUAACAUAAAACCAUCCAAUUACUGUAGAGCUACAUAACAUGCAUGCAGCGUACAACAACAGACAAAACAACAGCUGUUGAUAAGGAUGUAUAGCACAAGCAUAUCUAAGACCAGGCAGCUGUAGGCUAUGUACUGAUGACCUGUCUGUCUUUCUUUAGGAAGAGAUGAUCACCACAUCAGGAGAGCUUCAGCAGAAGGCAUGCAAACAGACAGACUCAGCCACGGACUAUGGGAAAUCUUCCAAUGACCCCCUCAACACCUUGUCAGUUCACUAUGAACCCCUUUGUGCUCCCUGAGAUGUCACUUUGACCUCACCCCCUUGGAUUCACACAGAGGGAGCUCAGGAGCUCCGAUUUCUCCAGGCGUGGAGCUAUGUCUUCCGACUCCUUCAGACGCCUUGGAUUCACACAUAGGGAGCUCAAGGGCUCUUCAGACUCCAACCGGACCACAGGACUGUCCAUAGACAUCCAUUCCCCCAGUAGCAUCUCACAUGCCUCACCCCCAGCUGUAUAGCAGUGAGGACUGUAUAACACAAAAGAUGAGUGAGCCAUUGAGAUAUAUAUCAUUUCUGCUUCGGGAGUUACACAAAUGAUUAGCAACAGUGCGAUUCAGGACAAGAUCCAGCUUUUAGGGAAAGAGCAGACUUGUGUACACAGGUAAGCAGACAGACACCCAGACACCAGAGGCAACAGGGAACAGAUGUGGAUUGAUAAAAGUGUCUAGCAUCUGUCAAAUACUCCAACUGACACAAUUUAUUUUUGAAUGCUAAGAUUAUCACUUUGUUCCUUAAGCAAAUUUAUGGUAAGAUGCUAAACACAAUUAGGCAAAACAAAGGUCUCAGGGAGUACUACAGCUUUAAAGUAGAGUCAUAGAGAACAUUGAACUUGUUUUUGUGCACUCAUCCCUAUAGGGAAUCUGUUGUCAUCCUGAUAGGGCUUUGUUCCUGGGCCAGACUGCAGUUGAAAGAGAGCAUUUGCAAAGAAAUCAAACUACGUAUAUCGAAUGAAUGCACAUCCUCCUCCCAUAGGUUAAAGCUACUAUGAGAAGGAAUUAAUCAUAAUGCAAACAGUGCAAUUAUUCACUGAGAUCCACCUUGAAUGAAUCUCUUGAAUGAAUGGUGCAAGUGCCCUCCUGUUCAGGAUAUAAGACUAUUGCUGCAGUAGCACUGACAGCUUUUUCCAUGCAACUGGUCCAGAGUGGGUAACCAGAGCUCCUCUUUUCCAACAGCCAGUAUCAUUCAGCAGUUAAGACAGCCAAUAGUUUUGUUAACAUCAGCACACACCCCCACGCACCCCAAAAACACACACAGACACACAUUCAAUCAUAAGCUCAGGUUUCCACAACACUGUAAAGAAUGCAUUCCUGGCUAGUAGAGAUGUGCUGCUGUAGUAAGCAGCAUGAGGGAUUGUUGUGUGGCAGGCAGCUCGAUUUGUCCAGCUUUAGGUAUCAUUUACUGGCAGUAGACCCAGCAUGAGUCAGUGAGCCAGGCAGUCAGUCUGUUUAGAGCAGCCAGUAGUCAGCCACAGCCACACAGCCAUUAAGUUACAUUAAAGUAUCACUCUGAACAUCAACCUCAUCAAAAACACCUCUCGCCAGGUCGUAAAUUGUAUGCAGCAGAGGACAUUUUUUUUACCCUUUAGUAUUGGUGAUUGGAAUGUAGCUUUGUUACAGAGACUUUUGCUGCCCAAAAACGUUUUAGUCCAAAAGUGAACACUGGAACAAUAUUCCUAACAUCCAAAUGUGGGGAAUGAUGAGAGAUGGUCUAUGGAAAACAAAUGUAUAUUUUGUGAUGUCAUUAAAAAUUAUAAUGAAAAUAUUGUAACUUGAACAGUAUACACAUUGUAUAUAUAUCAGGUUUUCAUCCUUUACGUUGUGAAGGAAAUAUCAAAGAUAAUGAGAGUAUUUUUGAGGAAGAGAGGAAUGUGAUUUUAGUUUUCUAGCGAGAUCAUAGUUUUGAUGAUACUUUGCCCCAGUAAGUAGCCAGGCCCGAGGGAGCUCAGAGUGUGUCAGCAUGACGGAAUCGCCCCCUUUUUACCAGAGUGUAUAAAGGAUGAGUUGAGACUCAAGCUGCAGCUUAGGUCUCCAUUGUUUACAACCCUGAAAAUCAACACAAGGUGAAGACGAUAAAGUAGCCUUUCUAACAAUCAAUGUUACGGCUGAGUAUCUGUUCUAAGUACCGUAUCUAAGAAAGUGAAUUUAAGUAGGACCAUCCUGUUACUCUCUUCAAACCAUUGUUGACUGCACUGCCCUCAUCACCCCACUGGGGAUCAUCGACAUCUGAUUAGCUGUAUUUAGAGGACCACUCUUCCAGAAUGAGUGAAAGCAAACACCACCCUGUUAGUUCUGCAUCAGACUACAGGACAAGGCAUUGAAGCCACGGCCAACUAAGAAGAAGGACAUUGUGACUUCUUGUGGUCAAUCAGAGCCUUACACUUAAGAGCUCGGGAGAAGGCCCAACUGAACCCUUUUCACAAAGGCCUCGGUCCAACAGAGAUAAAUGACGUUAAGAAGUCAUUUAAACACAUAAAUACAUUCAUUAUUUCGUACACCAAAUGGUCAGCGGUUCUUGGGCUAAGUAUUAGAAUUACUGUGAGCAUAGUUACAAGUGUUGUCACUCUUUCUUUCUCCCGUUUCCCCUCUCUACUCCUCCCUCUUUUGAUAUACAAGCAGUCAUGUUGCUUUUAGUCUGCUAGGGACCUGUUUCCAUCGUAUUAAGUUGCUAAUCAAUAACCUAUACCGAGUGUGUGUAUCCUGUGUUAUUAUUUAGUUAGUCAGUAAAUACAUCGUUAAAUACAUUUUUGUGGUACGGAAUGAUCAGUAAAGCUGGGGUUUGUCCAGAUAUGAGGAGUAUGCAAAGUUCAGAAUUAUGAGAAAGAUAUGAGGUAAUAAUUGUAAUAAAUUACUG
ensembl:lncRNA